CUUCUGGUCAUCAUCUUUCUAAUUAUAAAACAGAUCUAGAGGGGCUCUAGUCCUGAGAGUUUUCGGUCAACGUCAUCUUUCAAAUAUGUCGAAUCGAGUAGGUUUGGGUCGAAGAAGGGAGGAUGAUUCGCGGUUGACUUGGGCGGUGAACUCAGUUUUCGCUUUCGUACGUUUUGCCGAGUUCGAGAUCCUCUUUGUCCUUUUCUUCGUAAUCGCUUUCCUCAUCUUCAAGGAUCUGGUUAGAUUUCUUCUUAUUCUUCUAUUAAAAAUUACUUCUUUCAAUUGGUACUAUUGCAAUUUGUGUAAAUAUCUAAUGACAUAAUCUAGUUUUGGUUGAAUUAUACUCUAUACAAAUUUAACGUUUCUUGCAAUCACCCCUCCGUUCCAAACUCAGAGUUGUUACCUUGUUAUUAAAACCUAGAACAUGAUGAUUCGUAGUUAAACUUUUGUUUCAUAUAAUCAUCUAUUUUAUUUAAAUUGUGGCAGGACUUUGAAUUGGGGAAGUGAUAACUUUUCUUAAAUACAUAUAUAUAUAUUUUUAAGAGGGAGAUUUAAUUUGGGAUGGAUGGAGUAUAUGUCUUUGCAUUUCUGCUUUGCAGCUCAUCAGAAGUGAGAAGAUUUUCUGUUGGCAUGUUUUUCAAUUUUUGCCUUGGCAUGUUCAUGUUUAUAUAGUGAUCUUUCAGAAGUGUUGCAGAAAUCGGUCACAUAAAAACACACCGAGAUAACUAACUAUACUAAUACUGUAUGACAUACAAUAAAUAAAUGCCACAAGAAUAUUACUUGGAAAACUCAACGGUGACAGAUCUCAGAAAUAGAAGCUUCUUUGUCUGAGAAAAUAAACACCGUCUGUCUCAGCUUCUCUCUCUAAAGCUGAACUGAGCUUCUCUCUCUAUGGAUCUCUCGACUGAUGGGUUCUAAUUUUGGUGUGUUCCUCUUUUUUUUUCCUUUUUUUUUUGCUUGGUAAAUAGAAGAGGCAAAGCCUUUUCUCUCACCCCUACAUAUUAGCCUUCCAAGUAUGCCAUGUAUGCAAAAGGCAAAAAACAAAAGCCUUUUUCUCUUGCCUCCAUUUCACAAAAGAGACUUUCCACCUUUUUUCUAGCCAAUUUCCUUUUCUUCUGUUCCUGCCGACAAAGAAGCCAAGAGGGCUGCCCAUUUUUUCUUUUCAUCACAUGGAUAAUAUAUAUAUAUAUAUAUAUAUAUAUGUACUAUACAUAUAUAUUAUUCCCUUCUUCCACAUAAACAAACAAGAUAUGCAAAUCUUUGGGAACACAAAUAUGAGCCAACUUUAACCAUCUCCAUCUUGGCUUAAUAUUCUCCAAACACUGUAUACUGUGAAUUUCUUUAUCACUAUAGAUGUAACCCUCUCCUCGGAUACUUAACUAUGAAUUCAACAAUCGAAGAGUGGAUUAAGUCCAAGCAGUUCUUGAACUUCUCUGCAAAAGCCGAAUUUGUGAGCAUAUUCACAAUGUCACCACUGUUCAGCCAUUCACGAAUAUUGUGAUACCGAGCAUCAAUAUGUUUGGUCAUGGAGUGGAACACCUGGUUCUUUGCUAACUGAAUAGUACUCUGACUAUCACACUCUAUUUGGAUACUUCCUUGCCUGAACCCUAGUUCUUCAACUAGUCCCUUUAGCCACAAAGCCUCCUUGCUUACCUCUGUCAAUGUCAUAUACUUAGUCUCUGUUGUUGAUAAUGCUACUGUAGAUUGCAACAUUGACCUACAACGUAUACGUCCUCCACAAAAGGUGUAUACAAUCCCUGUUGUAGAUCUUCUCAAGUUUAGGUCUCCAGCAUAAUUCAAAUUGAUAAACCGUGUAACCUCACUCCUUGCGGGAUCAUGAUCAAACAUAAGACCGUAAUUGGUUGUACUAUGAUAUACAUAAGACAACCUACCACAUUUGCAUAUGGUACUUUGGACAUAUACUCCACCUCAUCAUGUGUUUGUGAGCUCAACUUUGAAGAUAACUUGAAAUGUGCUGCUAACGGAGUGCUAACUGGUUUAACAUUGUGCAUCUUAAACCUCUCUAAGACCUUCUGUACAUAUCCUUUCUUAGUUAACCAUAAUUUUCCUGCCUGACAAUCUUUGUGAAUUUCCAUACCAAGAAUCUUUUUGGGGGACCCAAGAUCCUUCAUGUCAAAUUCACCACUCAAUAAAAUCUCCAACUGAAGAAUAUAUGACUUCCUCUUUACUGCUAUUAGCAUAUCAUCUACAUACAAUGUCAACAAUACUAGAAAAUCGUCAUCAAGCGUUCUGAAAUACACAUGGAUCAUACUCAGAACGAGAGUAACUAUGAGCCACCAUGAAGCUGUCAAACUGCAUGUACCAUUGUCUCGUGAACUAUUUUAAACCAUAAAGGGACUUUUUCAAACUACAAACUAAGCCCUCUUUCCCUAGUUUAAUACCUCAUCUGGUUGUUUCAUGUAGAUCUUUUCAUUUAAAUUACCAUGGAGAAAAGUUUUCUUCACAUUAAGCUGCUUUAAAUUCAUAUUCUGUGAUAUUACAAUAGAUAAGAUCAACUGAAUCGAUGUGUGUUUCAUAACUGGUGAAAAGAUCUCAUUGUAGUCAAUUUUCUCUCUUUGAGAGAAUCCCUUUGCCACCAACCUGACCUUGAAUCUUUCACCUUUGUUUGAUUGAGCUUUUUUUUUCCUGAACACUCAUUUGAAUCCUAUAGCAUUGGAAGUUGAAAUAACUCCCAAGUCUGGUUUUCUGUAAAGACUCCAUCUCUUCUGCCAUCUCUAUCACCCAUUUAUCAUUAUUCUCGGACUGAAUAGCCUCAUGAUAGCUAGUUGGAUCUCCACUACCAGCAAUCAAGACAAAGGCAAAUAUGUCCUCAAGCUCAUAUCUCUGCACUGGUUUGCUGACAUGCCUUUCUUGACCUCUAAUAAGAUUAUAGGACAUCUCCUGGGAAUCUGAAGGAUGAUCGCCUUCAAUCUAUUCAUAUUUUUUUCUCUUCAGGAAUCUCCACCACAACUGGUGAUUUCUAUAACUCGCCUGCUGCAGAUGCUUCUUUAUCUGACCUGUUCAACAUGUGUUUCUCAUUGAACACUACAUCUCUGUUGACAAUCUUCUUCUUGGAUACUGGAUCCCAUAACUUGUAUCCCUCGACUCCGCUUUCAUAUCCAAGGAAGAUAUCCUCUUUUGACCUUGGAUCAAGUUUGGACUAUCGCUCUUCGACUGGCAUGCACAUAAGGUGGGCAGCCAAAUAUUUUCAUUACAGAAAAAUCAACUGAUUUUCCAGACUAAACCUCUGGAAUUUUGUAAUCAAUUCCAACUGAAGGAGAUCGAUUUAUCAGAUAACAAUCUUUGUUGACGACCUCAGCCCAGAAACUCUUGGGCAAACCUACAUUCAACCUCAUACAUCUGGCGUGUUCCAACAGAGUUCUAUUCAUCCUCUUUGCAACCCCAUUCUGCUUUGGAGUUCUUUUAACUGAGAAUUGCCUAGUGAUACCUUCAUCUUGACAGAACUGUAGGAAUGACUUAUCCUUGCACUCCAUGUCAUUAUCUGAUCUAAAAUACUUCAGCUUUCUAGUUUGGUUUUUCACUUUAGCUUUCCAUUGCUUAAAGAUUUUGAAAAUUUCUGACAUCUGCUUCAUAAAAUACACCCACACCUUCUUGGAGUAGUCAAUUAUGAAGCUUUGACAAAGUAUGAGCUCCACCCAUAAGUACAUCUUUAAUGGUGUGUGCUUCUUCCUUGAAGCUGACUCUUCGUUGCUUGCCAUACACACAAAACAGUAAAAUUCUAAACUGAAUGUUUUGAUUCUUUUUAAUCAUUGCCUUUUGUGAAGUUCUUUCAUUCCACCUUCACUCAAGUGAUUAAGCUGCUUGUGUCAUAAUUUUGUGUUAUCACUGCUGGAACUUUCCUGCACAAAAUUCCUGCUCCACUAACAACUAUGUGACUGUGUCCCCUAUCUACCUGUAGAGGGUGCCCAUUUUUUGACCCUUCAUAAUUACUAUUGAGCCCUUGAUAAUUUUCAUGACACCAUCUCUGAAUGAGAUACUGCAGCCCAUAGAGUCAAGUACAACCGAUAACAAGCUAUUCUUCAAUAAUGGAAUAUGCCUUGCAUCACCCAAUAUUCUGACAACACCGCUAAACAUUUUAACUUUGAUGGUGCCUUUCCUGGUAACUUUGCAGACUGCAUUGUUACCCAAUAUCACGUUACCACCAUUACAUGAUGUAAAAGUAUCAAACCAAUUCCUGUGAGGGAACACAUGAAAAGAACAACUGGAAUUCAAGUACCAAUCUGUCAAGCUGCCACCGUCUACAUAUAAGGGAUCACCCUGUGAAGCUUCAUUUUUCGUCACUGUGUACAAUUCUCCGUCGCUGCAGACAUCUGCUUGCUUAGCAACAUUAACAGAAAUUUCAACCUGCUCAUCUUUCUUCUUGUUCUCCUUUAACAAUGAACAUUAAUUUUUGUAGUUGCCCUUUCCGUAGUAAUGAUAACACUCAACUUGAGAUUUAUCUUUUUUACCUGAUCUCGACUGAGACCUUCCUCGUUACUUGUCGGAAUUCUUCUUUCGAUUAGGACCCUUGCCAUGCCCAUCUGAAGAUACAAGAAGACUUUCUCCAUUUUGGAAGUAGUGCCACUGAACUUAUCCUGGUCCAGGACUGCUGACAUCAUAUCGUCAACUGCAAACUUUUCCUUCUCUAUAAGGAGAGUAAUCUGGAGAGUUGGGUAUGAAUCUGACAGAGAGACAAGAAGCAAUAAAGGCUUUAUCUUCUUCAUCCAAUUUCACAUCCAUACUGGUCAGCUGGGUCACCAAAUGAUUGGUCAAAUCUGAACCUUCUUCCAUUCAAAGCCGAUACAAUUCUUUCUUCAAAUAUAACUGAUUUGACAGAGACUUCAACUUGUAAACUUUCUCAAGUUUCUCCCCACAAGUCUUCCAAAGAGGUUUCUAUCAAAACAUGAUAUUUGAUCUGUGGUGCCAAACUCAAUUUGAUUGUUGCCACGACCUUUGCUUCAAGAUUGAUCUAUUUUUCAUUUAUCAUAGUUGCUGGUUUCAUCUCCUUCCCUUCAAGUGCCUUUGCUAGUCCCUGUUGAACUAGCACAUCCUUGACAGUACUAGGUCAAAAUUUGACUUCUCGUCAAAUGGCUCAAUAUCGUACCUCAUACUUGUGUUUGUCAUCUUCUUAUUUGUGAGCUGCGAGAUUUCUCUUCAACGGAAUGAACCAAGCUCUAAUACCAAUUAUUGCAGAAAUCGGGUACACACACCAAGAUAACACACAAUAUUGUAUGAGAUACAAUAAAUAAAUGACACAAGAAUUUUACGUGAAAAACCCAACUGGAAAAAAUCACUGUAGAGAUCUCAAAAAUUCACUAUAAAAAUAUUAAAAAAUAAAAGCCUUUUUGCUUGAGAAAAUAAACAAACUGAUCAUUUUCUCUCAACUUCUGUCUUUACCCCACUCUUCUCUCUAAAGCUCAACUGAGCUUUUCUCUCUUUAUGGAACUCUUGGCUGAUGGGUUCUAAUUUUUGUGUGUUCCUCUUUUUUUUGUUAUGUUGGUAGCUUGCUUGUUAAAUAGAAAAGGCAAAGCCUAUUCUCUCACUCCUCCAAGCUCCUGUUGCCACCAUGUGUGUGUGUACAAUAUAUAUAUUAGCCUACCAAGUAUGCCAUGUAUGCAAAUGGCAAAAAACAUGUAUGCAAAAUGCAAAAAACAAAAGCCUUUUUCCCUAAGAGACUUUCCACCUUUUUUCUUGCCAAUUUCCUUCUCUUUUGUUCCUGCCGACAAAGAAGCCAAGAGGGCUGCCCAUUUUUGGCUUUUCACCAUAUGGAUAAUAUAUAUAUAUAUAUAUAUAUAUAUAUAUAUAUAUAUAUUAUAUAUAUGUACUAUACAUAUAUAUUAUUCCCUUCUUCCACAUAAGCAAACAAAGAUACGCAAAUCAUUGGGAACACAAAUAUGAGCCAACUUUAACAAGAAGAUUGGCAAGGGUGGAAGUGGUCUCCUGUUUGGCAGUGGCGCACGUAGGAUUUUUUGUCUAGGGUGGGCAAGAUUUUAACUAUUAAAUAAUAAUUAUAAAAUAACAAAAAAAUUAAAGAUAAAUAAAUUGAAUUAAAUGGCAAUAUAUACAAUCAAAAUUACAAAAAUAUACAGAUUCCCACCUUGUUAUAAGCAAGUAAACAAAAUUCGUCUAUCAUCAAGUAUCAUCUGACGUAAAUAAUUAAACAAAAUAGUCAAGUAUAAGUGAUAUAAACAAGUAAAUAAGAAUUCUCAGUUCCAUAAAAAUCAACUUUAGGGUCUCAGUUAAUUUAGCGAAACAAAAACUUUUUCAGUUCAAGAAACAAAAGUUCUCAUAAGUUGCAACAAUAUUUACACGAACAACAAUCAACUACUUGGGGGUGCUAAUCAAGUUUCCAAUAGUAUUCACAUCAAAUUCAAUCGACUUUAUGUUACCUGCAGCAACAUAUUCAUCUGGAACAGCAUCAGGUAUUGUAUUGUCAAUGACAAAGAACUCUAGCUUAUUGGAAUUGUUCUCUUUCUUAUGAUCUAACCGCCAUUUGCACUUUUAAAGUCCUUGAAACUUCUCUAUGAGAAGAAGAUUGUUAGAGAUUGAUCCAUGUGAUGUCGUCGUCGUGGAUGAUUCACUGUUUAUUUAUUUAUUUAUUUAUUUAUUUAUUUAUCAGUGUCUACUUUGAAAGAAAUUCAAGACCAAUUGGUGGCCAUAGUUGCACAACUGAGUCAAAUGAAUAAUAUGAUCAUACACAUUGAACAACAUCCUAAGCAUAAUCCUUAUGAUGACGACUAUAGAAAAGUUAAGGUAGAUGCACCAAAGUUUGAAGGUAGAUUUGAUCGCAAUGCAUUCCUUGAUUGGUUGUCUAUUAUGGAGAAGUAUUUUGACUGAUAUGAGAUGUUUGUGGAUAGGAAGGUGCAAUUCGCUAAAAUGAAAUUGGUGAAAUUGGCCAGUUUAUUCUGGUCAGGGUUGAGAGAGAUUUAAAGAGCCUAGGUGAGUCACCCAUCAAGCACUGGGGGAGAUGAAAACUCGUCUAAAACAAUAUUAUUUACCUGUAGAACAUACCGAUUGGUUAAGGGAGUAGUAUGACAACUUUCGUUAGGGUAAUAUAUCUGUUGCCAAUUACAUUUGCAAAUUUAGGGAGUUGGCUCAAAGAUGUAGAAUCAGUGAUAGUGAAAGAUUGACCAUUAUGAAGUUAAAGAAUGGGUUACGACCUGAACGUCAAUCACACAUCCUAACCAAUGACAUCACUACCUUAAAUGACUUUUUCCAGUCAGCUCUAGAUAAUGAGUAAGAUUACAAGGUAUCUAUGACAACUCGAAUUUUCAGAAAUUAUUAAAUAAGAAUUUAAUAAAUAAAAUUCUUAUUAUGAGAUGUAUAAUUUUGAAAUGUGGUUUGGUGUGAUUAUAAAAGAGAAAUAUAUAUUCAUAUAUUGAGAGAAUGAGGUUUAAUUGUUAAUUAAACUAUUAAAGAAAGUAAAUGAAGUUAUGAAAAGGAUUAUGGUGGCGAAGAAAAUUAACUGAAUAAUAUUGGUUAAUUUAAAAUUAAGAUAAUAAUUAUAUUAAAUUUAAAAUUAAGAUAAUAAUUAUAUUAUGAAAUAAUAUAAUUUGAAUAUUAAAACCUUGGAUGACAAAUGUGUUUUUGCGAGUUAAAUGAAAGGAUUUAUUCACUUAACUAAAAUAGUGAAUUAACGUAAAUAUAUAUUUGUUUUAAUGAACUGGGAGAAUUAAUAUAUUACAUAUAAAUGUAAUAUGGUGGAGAGAAUGAGAAGAAACAAAUGAUUGAAACCUCCGUGUUUUCCGUAAUGCCAAGCGAAUAUAAAUUGAUCUAUAAAUAAAUAUUGGUGUCAAGACUAAUAAAUUGGGUUAAUAUUUAAGAUGUGACUAAAUGUAUAGAUUAAAUAAAUUGUUUUGGGACAAUUUAUAGAAGGAAAGAAAUUAAAUAUUAUACAUAAUUGUAUAAUUUAUUAAAAUAAUGAGUGGGUUUAAUAUUAAUUAUUUUAAUGAAAAUGUUUAUUUGAAUAGAGAUGUUUAUUUUAAUUAUGAAUGUGAAUUCAUAAUUGUAUGAGAAAUAAUAUAGUUAUCUGUAUGGAUAAUUGGAAAAGUGUAAGUGACAUUUUUUUUCAAUUAAAGGAUGAAGAUGUAUCAUAUCAUAUAGUAAAAGGAAAAAUAAAAAUAAACCAUGGAGCAAUUGAGCUCUCCCAAACAUGGCAUUAGACCAUUCAUGUUUUCCUAACUGCUGAGGUUUUUUACGUUCUGUAACUGAGCAACCCAAUUUAAAAGUCACGCUUAAGCCCCAUUCUUCAGUUUAUUCCCUAUACGUUCAUUUGCAAAGAGAAGGCUGAGUUUUUAGAGAGUGGGAAUUUUCUGCGAGAAUUUGGAAGAAAGCUCAAGGAAGAAGAAAAUUGAUCACGUAAUUGAUCAUCUAACCAAGCUAUAAGAAGGAAUCAAGAGGUAAGAAGGAACUUCAAAACUCCUAAUUCCUAUUUCUUAAGUUUUGUUAUACUGAGAGUUAUUUUGGUUAUAAAAGUGGAGAAGAAAUCAAUUGUGUUAAUUGAUUAAUAACCUAUUAGAUGAUUUGAUAAUAGUAUAACAAGAAUAAUUAAACCAAUUGAUAUCUGAAUUUGUGUAAAGAAGAGAAGAAUUGGUCUUUUGGUUUAAUAUAUAUGCUCUGGUCUGUUUAGAGACUAAAAUUAGUUAUGAAUCCAUGAUUAAAGUUGUAAAUUGAUGGAUAUAUGUUGUUCUUCUUUGAGAAAUGAAAACAAUCCAAGUUGAAUGAACCAAAUCGGAGCUAAAACGAAUUCGUGGUGGAGGAUUUCGUAAAAGAUGUAAAAAUGUGAAAAUAGAGCAUGAACUUUGAAAUUGAAUCUUGGUUAAUGUUUUUGAGAUGUGGAAAUCACUCUUUAGUUGUAUUCUGUUAAGUUGAAUGAGUUUAUAGCAUUUAAAUUUGGUUAAUUUGGACCUUGAAUGAAGAAAAUGGGUAAUUUUGGUUUGUAGCAGAGUCUGAAUUCUAACUGUAGAAACUGAGUCUGCGUUGCAGCGCUGCGGCGCUUGAAACCAAGGCAAAUUGGGCGCGGCUGCACAGGGGAUCAAAGGCAAACUGGGCGCGGCCGCGCCAGUUGCUGAUCAGGCCCAAUAAAGAAAGCUUCAAUGCAUAGCAAUGUAAAUUAAUUCUAAUAAUCAUUAUUCACUUAAUGAUGAGUAAUGGGAAGCUCUAAACACCUAACAAAAUGUUAAGUGUCGAUUUAAAUGAACUAAAUUUAAAGGAUGACAUGAAGAUUAUGUAAUGAAGGUUAAUGAACCUUAUUCACAAAUGAUGAUGAGAUAAGUAGCUUUAUAAGCUUAGUCGAAUGCUAAGUAACACUUUACAAGAAGAAUUCUAGAAGUAUGUUAUGAAGAUUCUUAAGUUGAAUAAACCUAAUAUACAUCAAAUGUGAUGUGAAGGUAAGCUUUAAAAACUUAACUGAAUGUUAAGUGUCGAUUAAAAGAGAAGUAUAAAGAGAGGUGAGACGAAGGUUAAUUUAGUGACUUAACUAAAUGUUAAGUGUCAAACAAAGAAGAGUGAAAACCUGAAGAUAGGUUAUAAGUUUUCAAAGAACACAAGUUGUAAAAGGAAUAGGAUUAAGAGUCAGUGUGAUUUCAUUAUAUGUGUAACUGAUGCAUGUGUAUAUGGACUUCUGAACUAAUGUAGGAUAAACGCAAAACAGUUAAGCUGUAGUUGGUAAUCAACGAGCCAAGCAAGUCUUUCAGUUCUAUUUGAUAUAUGAAUGUGAUAAUUGAUUGGUUGAAAUUUGUACUGCUAUGAGAAUGAAGUUCAUAUGAUAUGUAUAUGAAAUGUGAAAGUUAAUACAUGAUAUAUUGAUAAGAGUAAAGGAAAUUUGCCUUGUUAUGUGAGAUGCAACAUGUAUGGUAUGUUAGUAUGAUUAUGAUCUAUAAGCUGAACAUGAUAUUAUGUGUUAUGUGAUGUAUGAAAACUGUUUGAUUUGCUGAGUUGUCGAGCUCAUCCUUGCAAAAAUAACCAUUUUGCAGGUUAAGGAUACAAUGAGAUAUUAUUUGCCAUUUGUAUGGUAAUGAUCAAAAUGCAUGUAAAAAAAUAUACUUGCUUUAUCAAGAAUUUAUUUAGAACUGUGUUAACGGUUUCCAAUAUCUGUAGUUGGCAGUUUAUGAUGUUUAUUUUAUGAAAAAAAAUGUAAAUGUUGAAUUAUCCGAAAUAUUAAGGAUAUUGUAAUGUAACGAGACAUGUAAACUUAUAUAAUAAGUUUGGCGAAGUGAAUCAUAAAUUAAACAUGAUUAUACGUUAUGUAAUCGUAAAGGUUGUGAUUCAAGGAAAUAAAGAAAGAGGAUAAAAAAGUUUAAGUUAUUCUGCAUUUUUAUUGAUUAUAUCAUCGAAUAUCGAUGUAAAGUUAGAAGUUAAAUGUAUUGUUAACGACCAAAGUAAAUGGGUGGAUUUUUCCAAAUUUUGGGGUUAUUACAGUUGGUAUCAAAACUUAUAGAUUAUAAACCUUAGGUAAGAGUACCUUAGGCUAUAACCUUAGAGAAAAAAGGUAAAAUAUGAACUCAGAUAGAGUUUGAGCGAUAAGAACUGAAUAUAGGAAGUGUAUAUAAAAGGGAUUAAGAUAUAUAUGAGGUGAUUCAAAGAAGAAUCUUGAAGAGUUAUAAAAGAUAAGAAUCAGGAGUUACUUGACUCCAAUAAUAAAGAUGUUAAGUGUUAAUAAAUAGACGAUGUCUAUAAGACGAAGAUGAUAAAAAUAAUAAGAAUAAACUCAAAAUGAAUUCAGGAGUUCAUGUAAGAUAAGAUAAAAUAAUGAAUGGUUCCAAAGAAGGAUCUUGAAAAACCAAAGAAUCAGGGAACACCUGAGUUGAAUAAUCACAAGACAAUAUGAUUAGAGAGGAAAUAAAGGAAUUUGUGAAAACAAAACGAUCAUAAAAUAGGAAAGAAUCAUAAGGUAAGCCGAUGGUAGAAUAAGAUCACAACGUGAUCAGAUUGAGCUAUGAAAUGACAGAUGAUCUGUAAUGAUUGAAUAGUUAUAGCUUGUCACUAUAAAGGAAGUGUACUAUGAAAUAGUACGAGGUAAACUCACGAAGAGUUAGAAAUGAUGAAAUACGAAAAAUUCGUAUCAAGCAAAGAGCAAGUUAAAAGCAAGAUGGAGUUAGGUGGGAUUUUAAUUGAGAACUCGUGUGAUAGCCGAGUUGUACAAAUCUUUGUAUGGGCAGGGGCUUUGUGCUUGCACUUAGUGUAUCACAUUGAUAAUUGUUGAAAUGUUGGUGUCGCGCUAUCGAUAUACAUAUGGCGAGAAUGUGAUUCUUUUCUCAUAUUUAUAUUUGAUAGUUAGAUAAUAAUAAGAUUAGGCGCGGGUUCUUAAAACUCAUGCUUAUAGUAAGUUUGUGACUCAAUCAUAUGUAUGUUUUUAAACCCUUAAGCAUAUGGAUAGUCCCUAAUUGGUUCUUGGAUUACGUAUUGCUAGGACAAAUUCUUAAACUCAUACUAUUGUUGUAAGUUCCUGAAUUCAUAAUGUGUGGUAAGUUUGAUGAACUAUACUGAGGUGUAGGAGGGUUGUUGAACUAAGAAUUUCUGGUAUAGCGAGCAUUGGUGGUGCUAAAGAUUGAUAGAAUGGUUAAAUAAAGAAGUAAUGGAGGAAAAUGGGUAUUUUAAGUCUACUAGCUAUGCUCUAUUUCGAAAUUUAUUGACAUCGUGUUGAUGUUUUCACUUUUGAAAAUGUUGGAUUGAACCAAUGUGUUUUUUUUUUAAAAAGUGCAUUAUUUGUAUGUCUAUACUAUUUGUUUCGGCUAAGACAAAAAUGAUUUGAAAAUUUUCAAAAUGUAUUUUUUUUGAUCAUAUGCAUCAUUUAAUAUGGUGUAAAAAUGGUAAGCGAUGGAGUCAUCAAUGCAAUUGAACCUGAUGUUGGAUGUGAUCACAGAUCGUCAGCCCACUAUGGUAUGAUGUAGCGUGACGAAGUCUUAUAUUGACGGAAUCCUCAAUGUACUAUUAAAACGGUACGGUAUCAUGACGUCAUAAAAAGAAUUUUGGUUUUCUUUAAACUAUGAAAAGAUAUGCCAAUAAAGUUGGCUAAAAAUAUUUUGAUUGAUGUCCGAAUUGCUGUUAAAAGUUCAAGCUAUUUGAUUCGGCUACACGAUUGUUGAAAGAUGUUUAUGAAAUUUAAGCGUUCUUUGAAAAAUUGUGCCAAACCAAAUUGUUUUUUUUGGGGGGGGGGGGAUUCAGAUGUUGAAAAGCUGAGAUGAACAAUCCUAUAAAGGGGACAUGUUAUUGGAGACUAUAGUUUCGAAAGUAACACAUAGUCGUUACGAUGCAAAACGUUGUGCAUGACGUAGUGGUAUGAUAGGCUGAUCACCUAGGGUACUUGCAGAGAGUUAUUUAUAUCGCUUCCCAAUUAUUGAGCAAUUGUGAAAGAUUUUUAUUAUUCUGAAAAGGUGAAUGUGGAAAGGAGAUAUUCCUUAGAAAGAAGUAAGUUGUAGAAUGUGACAUGUAAUGAUGAGUAAAUUGAGCAAACCAUAAUAAUUCCAAGAAAUAGAUAAAUUACGAAAAGAGAAGGGAUGAAGUUAUCUAAGAAAAAUGUGAAAUUCUUAGAAGAUAAAGGUGUGAAGAAUGUAAUGAUUUUGGAUCCUUCGAGGAGAAAUUUGGUCAUAGAACCCAAUGAAUGCGUAAAGAUUAACGUAAAAUCUAUUUUGAUGAAUCGAAUGAAAGAAGAUCAGUAAGUUGAAAUUUUGCGGACGAAAUUCUUGGAAGAAAGGGUGAAUAUAAUAUCCCGAGUGUUAAUGAAUUGAGUAUAUGACAAUGAUCCUAAGAAAAAGGAAAUGAAUGGGUUAAAGAAUAUAUAUAAUACUCAAAAUAUUCCGAGUUCAAAUGAAGGUUAUGAAAUAAAACCUAGAAUUUGUUGAGGAAAAUGAAUGGAAUAAGGAAUGUAAAACCUAUAUUAAGGUAAUGUGUUGUAGUUAUUUGACGAUAAUUUUUUUUGAAGGAGAUUCAAUGAAAACCGAGUAAAGGAGGUUUCGGUGAUUUCGAGGACGAAAUCCCCAGAUUUUUAGAAAUUAUUAAAUAGGAAUUUAAUAAAUAAAAUUCUUAUUAUGAGAUAUAUAAUUUUGAAAUAUGUGAUUUGGUGUUAUUAUAAAAGAGAAAUAUAUAUUCAUAUAUUGGGAAAAUGAGGUUUAAUAGUUAAUUAAACUAUUAAAGAAAGUAAACGAAGUUGUUAUGAAAAGGAUUAUGGCGGCGAAUGAAAUUAACUGAAUAAUAUUGGUUAAUUUAAAAUUAAGAUAAUAGUUAUAUUAUGAAAUAAUAUAAUUUGAAUAUUAAAUCUUGGAUGGCAAAGGUGUUUUUGUGAGUUAAAUGAAAGAAUUUAUUCACUUAACUAAAAUAGUGAAUUAACGUAAAAAUAUAUUUGUUUUAAUGAAAUGGGAGAAUUAAUAUAUUACAUAUAAAUGUAAUACGGUUAUUUAAUGGCCUAAUGUAUUAUAUUAUACCAAGCGAAUAUUAAUUGGUCUAUGAAUAAAUAUUGGUGUCAAGACUAAUAAAUUGAGUUAAUAUUUAAGAUGUGACUAAAUGUAUAAAUUAAAUAAAUUGUUUUGGGACAAUUUAUAGAAGAAAAGAAAUUAAAUAAUUAUACAUAAUAAUUGUAUAAUUUAUUAAAAUAAUGAGUUAAAUAUUAAUUAUUUUAAUGGAAAUGUUUAUUUGAAUAGAGAUGUUUAUUUUAAUUAUGAAUGUGAAUUCAUAAUUGUAUGGGAAAUAAUAAAGUUAUCUGUAUGGAUAAUUGGAGAAGUGUAAGUGUGACAUUUUAUUUUAAUUAAAGGAAGAAGAGGUAUCAUAUAGUAAAAGGAAAAAUAAAAAUAAACCAUGGUGUAAUUGAGCUAUCCCAAAUAUGGAGAUAUUACCGAUGGGGAUACUACAGAAAAAGUACUUUGCAGAGAUAUUACAGAUGGGGAUACUAUAAUUGGCAAAAUUGGUCAUGAGAUUAUUCCAGUGUUUGAGGACAUUAAAAUUAUUGAUUUUGUUAUUCUUGAAGAUUUCUUUGUCAUGCAGGUAAACUGAAAAUUGUUGGUAUUUUUUCACUUGUUUUUAGGAUUAUUCUUUGAGAAGAAAAUUCAUGUAGUUUUAAUCCCACGAUGGUUGAAAAUUCACGUAGUGUUUGAUACUCGUUUGCUUUAAAAUUCGAGGUCAGCUCUUUUAUAAGAAGGGGAUAUUGAUACGGUGGAAAAUAUCAAUAAAGUUCGAUGACAAUGUUGUGAAUUAGAGGAUGAGUUCUCUCUAACUUGGGCUGAUUGAUGCGAGAGGAUUUGCGUUCGAUAAUGCUAAGUUGCCAGGUAGAAGCGGAUCGACGCAAGGGUGGCGGUCAUUGACUUCUUCGGGAUCGGAUGGCGGACUUCUUCGGAGUUCGGCAGUUGACUUUGGGAUUUUAGUUUUCAACUUUGGGAAGGUCAUCAGGAGUUGGGACCAGAUCCUUUCAGGAGUUGUCUUCGGGUCUGCAUCAAGGAGUUGUUUUUGGAUCUGACUUCGGGAGUUGUCUUCGGGUCGACUUCAGGCUUAGUUUUAGUCAUUCUUUUAUAGUAUUGUUUUAUUAUUAGAAAGUGGAUCUUUUCUAGUAUUACGUAACUAAUUAAUUAUUGAGAGUUUAUUAUUUAUUAGGAGUUUGUUACUAUUAUUGAGAGUUUGUUACUUAUUAGAAGUUUGUUACCAUAGUUAUAGGAUUUUUGUUACAUUCUGAUAAGGAAACCUUUUAGCUAUAAAACCCGGCUUGUGAGUUUUUUAUUUUAUUUUGAUAAUAUUAAUUCAAGUAUUAGAGAAGUUUCUCAGUAUUUAAGGUAAUUCUUUUGCUUCGUUUGCCAGUGAAUUUAUUUGUUUACCUAGCCCGCAGGAUAAUCACUAUUCUCCUCGGCGUCAACAUUUAAGUAUACUACUAAAUCACAUUUGUUAAAGUUCGAAGAUAUCUGAAAGCUUUAUUAAGUGAUUUUUUUUGUUUUAUUUUAUUUUGUUUGUUUGUUUUCAUAUUUCCUAAUAAUAUGGCUUGUAACAUCUGUUCUGGAUCAAUUCGUUUUGUAUUCGAUAGUUGCAUAUUAACAUUUUUAAUAUCCCUCUUGACUCUCGACGGUCAUGUUGGACUUUGGAGUUUGGCCUAAUUUUCUUUUCUUGUAUAUGUUCUUCCUCUUAUCAAUUUGGCAAGUUCUUCCCUCUUCUUUUUCAAUAUGAUUUUCUGCUGUCAAAAUAAACUAGGCUGGUUAUGAGAAACAUGUAAAUUUAUUGGCCAAGAGAGAAGUUAAAAUUAGUUUUUCUAAUAUUCGUUGAACUAGAGAUAGAUGGAUUAAGUUGGGAUCUGAAAUGCAGUAUUUGGUGAUCAACAGAUACUUUGCAUUUUUGUCAUACUCUAGAAGGGCCUGUCGUGCUUUAUGCUCCAGAUAUUGGUUGGCAAAACAAAUUAGAGUAGCCUGAAUAAAGCUUAAGAUGCUCAAGUAUGGUCUACAUAACUUGGAAAUUGGAAUUUGAGAAGAAAAUUUUCAUGAUAUGAGCAUCCUUCAACUGGGCCAUUGACCUGGGAAGAAGAUUAACAAGAGUUGUUGGAGGAAUUAAACAUUUGGGGCAAUAUGAGAAUUCUCCCUUAUGUAGAGUCUGCGUUUUUGUAGUGCGAAUGUGAGUCAGAGACACAAACGAGUUCCUAGUACUGUUUCAGUCCCAUCUGAAGGUCUGUAUACAUAUGACUUGGAGAUUAGAAAGAGGAACUACAACACAUAUGGGACGCUCUAUUCAACGAUGCAUGUUUUCUUGUUUUCUCUUUUGCUGAAGUGAAAAAAUAUUAAGUAUAAAAGCUGUAUUUAGUAAAGGAAGGGAAGCUGGAUUGAGCAAGCUUUUACGUGAAUUAGACUUGUUACGGAAAAGGGAUGAGGAUGACAGGAAGUAAUUCACUGGGUUAGAGUAUGCUACAUAUGAAAUUUAAAUUCUUUGUAAGCCAUUUUCUUUUCCCUUCUAUUCUCUUUUAAUAUUUUUUUUCCUAUUUAACUGUUACCCAGAGUGAACAAUACAAACUCACUUUAGAAGAGAUGAUAUUAAACUGUACUUCAAGUUUUCUUUGCUGGACAAUACGAACAAAGAGAGGUAAAUUACAUGAGCAGAGAGUCUAUAACGGAUUAUAUCUAGAGUGUCCUUUAAGUUGUUGGAAAGAAUCUCUUUAAUCUUAUCCUCUUGAUUUAAGCUUAUAAGCCUUCUCAUCAUUGUAAUUCUACUUGUUUUUAUUUAACCAAACUAGACUGAUAAUCCGUGCAAGGCACGGGUUAGUAUUGAUAAUACAAUCUAAAAUUGUGGUGUGUGAUAUUUGGUAUUAUAAUUUCGUUAUAAAUAGUAUGGUAUAAAUGGUAGUAAUACAUUGAAUAUAAAAUUGAAGAGUUGUAUAUAUAUCGAAACCAUUGUGUAUGUUUUUAAUACAUUCAUGUACAUCAUUGGAAUAAUACAACAAAGGAUACGGAAAAUUUCGUAUAAUUAUGAAUGUAUAUUUCGUAUAAUUAUGAAUGUGACAUACAUUGUAUUCGUAGAUAUGAUGAUGGGACUAAUUUGGUAUUAACUCGGGAUUAACUCGAUGUUCAACCAAAAUGACUCGGUUAAUUUGGAUAAGACUUUCAAUUGACUUGUUAUAUAUAGUAAUAGAUGGGUAGAAAUUAUAACUAAACUCUCCUACUCAUUCCCCCUCUGAUUUUACAUCUUUUAUGUGAAAAGCGUGAUAGAUAUUAUUUGUAAAAAUGACGAGUGAGAUAGGAAUAUUUGUAUUAAUUUAUUAUUACGUCGGACUAUUUUAUUCCGUAUUAGUCCGUUAUUUAAUCUCGUUUUGUCAUUUCUGAGGUAGUUCGGUGAUGGAUGUUAAUCCCAAGUAGAAAUGCGGUUUUAUAUAAUCUCAUUUUUGAAUAAUCAAAUGACCUUAAAUUGAUAAUAAAUAGUCCAUAAGAUUAAAUAAAGGACUAAUAUAAAAUAGUCCAAAGUGAUGAUAAAUUAUUAUAAAUAGUCCUGUCUUACCCAUUAUUUUUGCAAACAAAAGUAGCCCAAAUUAAUUGGUAAGAUAACUUUUUUAGUGAUUAUUUGCUUUUGGUAUAACGAUUUUAAAAGGAGAAUUGUUUCUGGAUGGUAAGAAAUGGGGAAGUUAUUUGUGCUUCUCCUUUUACCUUUUUAAUUAUUACCUGAACAUGUGUUACCUUAUGGAAAAAUCUACUUUUGCAGACUGCAAGACCAGAAUACAAUCAGAUCCUUGUAAAGAAGCCUGGAGGGCCUGACUGGUGGAAUUUUUAGGAAAUGUUGAGGAUAGUCGGAGGAUUAGCAGGGUUCUCUAUCAAUUUCAUGUAUCACAUAUAUACAGUGGAUGCUUUAUAUGAUUGGGUGGCCCUCCGUUUGAUUUCUUACCAAUUGCGUUUGUAAUUGAUAUGUGAUAUAUAUAUAUAUAUAUAUAUAUAUAUGUGUAUUACACAGUAGAGUUAUAGCGACGAGUUUUUUGGGCUAUAGCGACGCCGUCGCUAUAGUCCAGAAUAGCUAUGGUGACGGGUUUAUCCGUCGCCAUAGCCCAAAAAUCUGUCGCCAUAGCUGGCUGUGUAAUAAACAGCUGUGUACAUGCA
rnacentral:lncRNA from 1 species